UCAGUUGGUAGAGCAUCUGAUUUGUAAUCAGAGGGUCGAGGGUUCAAGUCCUUUAGCCGG
rnacentral:tRNA from 1 species